rnacentral:rRNA from 1 species
CUACGGGACGCUCCAGUGGGGAAUAUUGCACAAUGGGCGCAAGCCUGAUGCAGCCAUGCCGCGUGUAUGAAGAAGGCCUUCGGGUUGUAAAGUACUUUCAGCGGGGAGGAAGGGAGUAAAGUUAAUACCUUUGCUCAUUGACGUUACCCGCAGAAGAAGCACCGGCUAACUCCGUGCCAGCAGCCGCGGUAAUACGGAGGGUGCAAGCGUUAAUCGGAAUAACUGGGCGUAAAGCGCACGCAGGCGGUUUGUUAAGUCAGAUGUGAAAUCCCCGGGCUCAACCUGGGAACUGCAUCUGAUACUGGCAAGCUUGAGUCUCGUAGAGGGGGGUAGAAUUCCAGGUGUAGCGGUGAAAUGCGUAGAGAUCUGGAGGAAUACCGGUGGCGAAGGCGGCCCCCUGGACGAAGACUGACGCUCAGGUGCGAAAGCGUGGGGAGUAAACAGGAUUAGAUACCCUAGUAGUC